rnacentral:rRNA from 1 species
AGUGAACGCUGGCGGUAGGCCUAACACAUGCAAGUCGAACGGCAGCACAGUAAGAGCUUGCUCUUACGGGUGGCGAGUGGCGGCCGGGUGAGGAAUACAUCGGAAUCUACUUUUUCGUGGGGGAUAACGUAGGGAAACUUACGCUAAUACCGCAUACGACCUACGGGUGAAAGCAGGGGAUCUUCGGACCUUGCGCGAUUGAAUGAGCCGAUGUCGGAUUAGCUAGUUGGCGGGGUAAAGGCCCACCAAGGCGACGAUCCGUAGCUGGUCUGAGAGGAUGAUCAGCCACACUGGAACUGAGACACGGUCCAGACUCCUACGGGAGGCAGCAGUGGGGAAUAUUGGACAAUGGGCGCAAGCCUGAUCCAGCCAUACCGCGUGGGUGAAGAAGGCCUUCGGGUUGUAAAGCCCUUUUGUUGGGAAAGAAAAGCAGCAGGUUAAUACCCCGCUGUUCUGACGGUACCCAAAGAAUAAGCACCGGCUAACUUCGCG